rnacentral:rRNA from 1 species
UACGUAGGGUGCAAGCGUUAAUCGGAAUUACUGGGCUUAAAGGGUCCGCAGGCGGUCUGACAAGUACCUUGUGAAAUAUCAGGUCUCAACCCUGAAACUGCUCGGUAGACUGUCAGACUUGAGUGCAAAAGGGGUCGCUGGAACUCUAGGUGGAGCGGUGAAAUGCGUAGAUAUCUAGAGGAACGCCAAAGGUGAAGACAGGCGACUGGUUUGCAACUGACGCUCAUGGACGAAAGCGUGGGGAUCAAACGGG